AUGAUAGUACUUACUACUUGAUAACGUGGUAAUUCUAGAGCUAAUACAUGCUAAAAACCCCACUUCGGGAGGGGUGUAUUUAUUAGAUAAAAAACCAAUGCCCUCGGGGCUCCUGGUGAUUCAUGAUAACUUCUCAGAUCGCAUGGCUUUACGCCGCGACGGUUCAUUCAAAUUUCUGCCCUAUCAACUUUCGAUGGUAAGGUAUUGGCUUACCAUGGUUUCAACGGGUAACGGGGAAAUUAGGGUUCGAUUCCGGAGAGGGAGCCUGAGAAACGGCUACCACAUCCAAGGAAGGCAGCAGGCGCGCAAAUUACCCAAUUCCGAUACGGAGAGGUAGUGACAAUAAAUACUGAUACAGGGCUCUUUUGGGUCUUGUAAUUGGAAUGAGUACAAUUUAAACCUCUUAACGAGGAACAAUUGGAGGGCAAGUCUGGUGCCAGCAGCCGCGGUAAUUCCAGCUCCAAUAGCGUAUAUUAAAGUUGUUGCAGUUAAAAAGCUCGUAGUUGAACCUUUGGCCUGGCUGGCAGGUCCGCCUCACCGCGUGCACUUGACCGGCCGGGCCUUUUCUUCUGGAGAACCGCAUGCCCUUCACUGGGUGUGUUGGGGACCAGGACUUUUACUUUGAAAAAAUUAGAGUGUUCAAAGCAGGCCUUUGCUCGAAUACGUUAGCAUGGAAUAAUAGAAUAGGACGUGCGGUCCUAUUUUGUUGGUUUCUAGGACCGCCGUAAUGAUUAAUAGGGACAGUCGGGGGCAUCAGUAUUCAAUUGUCAGAGGUGAAAUUCUUGGAUUUAUUGAAGACUAACUACUGCGAAAGCAUUUGCCAAGGAUGUUUUCAUUAAUCAGUGAACGAAAGUUAGGGGAUCGAAGACGAUCAGAUACCGUCGUAGUCUUAACCAUAAACUAUGCCGACUAGGGAUCGG
rnacentral:rRNA from 1 species